AAAAAGAACAAGAACAAGAACAAGAACAAAAAUAGUUGUAAUAUAGUAAUAGACUGCAUAUACAGCGCUCUACAUCAAACUAGAAUUAAUUAGAACAACUGAUGUUCACUUCAGUUUCACUUCACGUUUAUUCAUUCAUUACAUAUUAUAACAUUGAAAGGAGAGUCCUCGUUUAGUAUUUCCUGACUGAAAGUGUUCUAUUUAUAUAUUUAGGUUUAUGUUACUACGUUACCUUAGAAUUACACAGAUUUAUAUGCUCAGUACCUAAUUUUUAGAAAUAUGUCGUAAAAAAAUUAGUUUCCUAAAAUGUCAAGGUUUUUCGAAAGCAAUUUUUGGAAUUUCUUGAUGACGACUCCGAAUAAUCUGACAAUUGUACAAGUUCAC